GCUUCCCGCGCCAUUCGCGUGCACGCGCGUGAGAGGGGACCAAGCACGCAACCGUUAGAAGACUGUCUGGAGUCUGUCUCAAAUUGAUAAAUUUGGAAAUGGAGUUUUACGGGUCUCUGUGCAUCUACAAGGAAGCCGGCUGCUGGGAUAUUUGGAUCUUUGCACUCAUCCUCAGACGUCGCUUCACCUUGAGUCGCCACGCAUUGACGAAAUGUUUAUUUUUCUUCUUUAGAAAACAAAAAACCCAAAGUUUUUCCCCCCUCUUCUGCAGUCCAUCAGCAGGCAGACAGCUCCUUAUGCCCAGGGAGUUGUUCCUCACCCAUGGAGUUCAAGAUGAGUGCAUCAUGCACGAGGCAGCCUAUAAAAGCACAUAAAGCUGCUGACAUUGACAGUUAUGAUUUCCUGUCAACAAAUGUGCAGAGAGAGCUGUGUUGGUGGACUAGGAGGAAGAUGUCACACUAAGGAUGGGUUUUUUUGGCGAUGAUGUUGGUGCUGUUGAUGCAGCAUCGAGCUCUCACUUUGUGCCUCUGUCAGCUAUGAUCCGUAACCAUAAAGUGAGUGACAGGCCAUUCUCCGGGGGGAAAGCAGAGGUCUGAGAAGGAAGAGGAGGAAAGCAACAUGGAUGUGGCUGAGCUCGCUGACUGAACUGAUAAAUCCUCCACUCCACCAUGAUGAUAACGAUGAUGGCUGUUUAUCCUUUUAAAGUUGAUGCUGGAUCAGUUUUUUUUUAUUUACUUUUGGGUAAUUUCCCAUGGAGCAAAGCAAGAAAAGUGGGAAUAAUGGCUUCCAAAAUGCUUUAAUGGAAAAGAGGUGUGAACGGAUCAUUUACCCUGCAGACAGGGGUACACAGAGAAGCCAAAGAGCAGCCUGAGACUGCCAUUUGAAUGGGAUCUGAGACGUAAUUUGAUCUAAAAUGGACUCCAGUCAUUCACCCUCCUCCUACUCUCCCAUGGCAUCAACUGUAAUUCAUUAUUCCUGGCCAGCACAGGCAAUGAGCGAGGGCAAAGGACAGGAGUGGACUCUGCUCUGGUGUAAUGAAGACUCAGUAGACCUAAACGGCCCCCUUCCUCCCUUUCCUCCCCUCUCUCCCUCCAUCACUUAUACAUACACGCAAUCUUUCAUUAUCUAUCAGAGGGAGCAGCACAUUAAUGCUGCCGAAGACCUUUUGGUGGAGAAAUAAGAGUGUGCAAGGAUUUUCUCCACUCUCAAUCUAUUUCAUUGACCUUUUCCAUCAUGCAUGUAACUCAGAUUGCUUGCUGCAGCACCAGAUAAAUAUUCCAACAAUAGCAUGCCUGCUGCCACUUAAUAAUGCAUCUUUUUAAAAUGCAAAAAUGUAUGUUCAUCAGACUUUAAAGAAAUUAUAUAUACAUCUUUUGAGUUAUCAAUAUGCUUUCUUCACUCAGACAUGGAAUUUUAACACUUUAGAGCUUAGUUUGUCAGAUUAAAGAAGAGCACCCAUUUUAUGAUUUAUGAAGACUAAGAACACAAAUGUUAAAGAACUGCUGGUUUGACAAAGCUUUUUAAGACAUUUCAGUUCCCUGUCCCUCCACUAGGGGUCCACAGAUGUCUUGUCCAGACUGGCUGAGAGGAUAAACACUGUCAUCUGGUGGUAACAGGAAAGACAAUUUCUUCAAUUUAUUUGGAGGCAAAACUUCCUUAUAAUAUGUAGUUUGUGCUUUAUUGCAAAAACAUUUUUAGAUGGAUUUUGAGAACUGAACUAACUGAACUGAACUAACUAACUGAACUAACCCUUAAAAGAAAAAUUGUAGAGUGGAAGGUUUCCAAGAAAAGUUCCCAAAUAUGACCAAAGCUGAUGUAAAGUAUUCAUUAAAUUAACUUACUUUUUAAAACGUAUGUGUAGUGACUUAGAACACUUAAUAAUGUGUGAGUUGUAAGAGUUGUGAGUUGUUUUCCACACAUUUUAUACAUAUUUAUAUGAAACAUGCCUAUGGAGUAAAAGGAUGCCUAUGGAGUUUAGUACACAAGUUCUGGAUCCUUAGUUUUUACUCACCACAAACUAGAUGUGACACAAAGGAGAGAAAAACAAAAGUCAAGAAAAAAACUGUUCACUUUUUAAUGCAUCGCCAUAACAUACAAUUUUAUUUCUAAAGCACUUAAAAUACAACAUAGCAGCUGGCUGAAGUGCUGCACAAAAUUAAGAUAACAGCAAUAAAAUAAUAAUAUAGUUACAAGAAAACAACAAAUAUUACAACUACUAGUUUUAACAUGUGUUAAACUCUGAGCAGUUUAAAUGACUUUGUGUGGAGGAGAAACAUUAGAUCUGCUGAUAAUUUUUCAUAUACAUGUAUGAAAUGUGUACACACAAAGUCAUUUUAUCAUAAAAACAGCAACUGAAAAGAUUCUUAUUUAAACAUUGUUUUCAUUAAGCACCUUUAAAUAUCCCUGUGUAUUUGCUUUUAAUUACUCGUGUCACUUUGCUUUUCUUUAUUUUAAACAGUUUUAUAUUUUUUUUAGUCAUGAAACACUGGUAGUUUCAUGUGGGAAAGCUGCUAAGUAAUAUUUACAGAUUUAAUUAACAACAUUGGAAUAAUUGGCUUAAUCAAAGCCACUUAGUAAAAAUGAACAAUAUAUAUACUGUACUCAUUAUUAAUACAAUUGUAUUUGGAAUCAUCAUUGUCCUGCCAAAACACCCAGCUGUGUCCAAGAUUCAACCAUCGGACCCAAAGCCUCACUGUCAGAGGAAAUGAAAUUGGUGGGGUGUUCGGUAACAACCCAGGACCCUGAAAGCCUCAGGUCUGUCAGCAGAUAGAAAAUGAUGGGACACCACUAUCAGGGAUUACAAUAAUGGGAGUUUAACAUUACCACUGACUGAGAAGGAACAAGCCAAAGAAUAAACACCUGUUGCAAUCUAAACACCUCUAAGGUCAACUGAGAGCAAGUGUCCACAUGAAUAAGUCAAAUAGUUUCUGGAGAAGCUUGUUUUUAACUGAAUGACAUAAUGAUUGGACUAUUUGGCCACUAAGAUAAAAUAUUUUCACGUGUCAAGCUCUGUGGUGGUAGUGUUAUUCUGAGGUUCUUUUCUGUGGCCAUAAGAGGGGAUUGUGAAUGAUAAUCCCUAACAAUACAUCAAAACUGGAUUUGGAUAGCAUGAAAUCAAGAGGUCAAAUGUCCAGCAAGAAUUUCAACUGUUUAGUUUUGCAAUAAUAGAACAUUCAACUAAAUAUCAGCAAUAUUAUAUUUAAAUCUGUGUACGAUAAAUUGUUUUUUUUAAAUAAGUUAAAUAAAUAAGUUUUUUUUUUACAACCAUUGAAGUUUUAUGUUGCACUCCUCCAAAGAUAGAGUUCAAACCAAUGAUUCAAAGCCCAAAAGCAAUGUCCAAUUCAUGUAAACUUUCGUCUUAUUUUUAUUUUUACAUAUUUGUAAAUUUUUGUUCAUUUAUGCGUUGCAUGGUGGAUGUUUCUAUCUUGUUGUUGCUGCUUUAUUUCAGCUCCUUCCCCUUCAGUCAAUAAAGAUUGAUCUCACCUCAGCUGGGGCCAUCUGUAUGAGAGAGACUGUUCGACCUAACUGACUCCAUUCCGUAUUUGCUUCAAAAACGAUAGUUUUCUUAAGACAUAAAAGUGAAGUGUGAAAUAAAACAGUCAAAGGCAGGUCUACUUUCAGAGAUUUCCUGUUUUUUAAAGACACCAGAAUGCAGCUCGGGUUAGUGUUUGUCUGCCAGGACAGAGCUAGACAGGGGCAAACUGAUAGAUCAGAUUGGGGCCCAGCCUGGCCUGUCUCAGUGCCCUGGAGGAAGGAUCGAGCUUAUGAGUGAGAGGGGGUAGGGUGGUGGUGCUGUUGGCAGAGAGAAGGUGCCUUAAUGGAGUCUUUCAGUUUGCUGUGGCUGUAAAUGAAAGGAGGCUGAAAGUCAGCCAAUUACCAUUCCUUAGAGGAGGGAGAGAGGGCGUGUGGCGCUAGAUCAUUGCCUCCGUGUGCGUGUGUGU